AGAAUUUACUGCACAAAAUUAAUUUCUUAUGUAUGCUGGUAAACAGUUUUAACAUGGUGCAAAGUUAAUUUCAUACCGCUAUUUUGUAGUUGUGACGGCGCGUUUCUCUGACGCCACUUCCUGUUUAGCUCCUGACGUUCCGGGCGCGGAUUUUUGAAAACAACAAAAAGUUGCAUUCACGCCAUUAAACGGAGACUAUAAUGUGGUGGAUCAGUUCAACAGCAGACUGCUGGAUCAGGCCAUGGGAGAAGUGCUCAAUGACAGAGUGACAGAGCUCUAUCAGGAACAAAGGCACUACAUGAAGACCGCCCGGGCACGAGUGAAUCAUCAGUGACCUUUUUCAUCACAUGCUCUUUUGAAGCUAAGCUUCAGAGGACUUCAUCUCAGUGAAAACAGGCAGCUCUGUCGUCCUUCUGAAAGAUAUCCAGUACGUCUCCUGCCAGACUAAAGACGGAGAGUCAACAGGAAGCAGGUGCUGAGGGAUUAUAUAUUAAGAUGAAUUUCUUAAUGUUUAACUCAUCCUCUCUUUCUGACGUGAGGCUGUAUAAAGCCUUGCAUCUGCCGACUGAGUGGAAUUCUGAGUCUGUUUAGGGGAUUCAACACCCAAAAAUGAAAUCAGGAGUUUGUGUGUUAAUAAAACGAAGGUAAAUAUGUUUUACUCGCCGUUUACCCUCAUCCUCUUCAGAUUCAGACAUGCUUACGUUAACCGGGGUGCUCUGAUGCUCGUCUGUGUUGUUAUGCGUGACUCAUUCAACAUAUAGAUGGGUUGAGCAUUGAGCAUUUCCAGUUUAGACAUAUUUUUUUGUCUAAAUUGGGCUUAUUAAAAUUGCAAUACUGUCUCUCCACCUGGCAGCCUCGGGGAAACCCAUAUAUUAUAGUCCAAAAAAGUUUAGGCUGUUUAAAAGGAGCUGCAUAAACAAAACAUUAUGCUAAACUAGUGAUGACCUAGUUUCUCAAUUCUCUUAUAUAAAUAUAAGAUAUAAAACUCUUUAUGUUUAUAUCAUUUUCCUGUCCUGGAUGUAUCAAGAUUGCAUGAGUACAUGAUGGGAUCAAACGAAUCAGCCAAGGAUGUUUCCCAAUGUUUGCACACACAAAUUUCAUACUGACAAAAUGCAUGCUGAAAAAAAAAAUCUCCAAAAUCUUUGCACUGAAAAAGCAUGCUGAUAAAAUUUUUGCUAAAAUAAAAUAGGCAUAAUGAUAACAAAUUUAUCAACAUAAAAUGAAAAAAAAAAAGUUCCCCCAGAAAACCUUGCACUUGAAAUGCAUGCUGUUAAUAACUUGAUCAAUGAAUAAAAAUAAAAAAGAUAUUCCCAGUUCAUACUUUAAAUGCAUGCUGAUAAUAAUUGUAUGAAAAUAAAAAGUAUGAUUUUAGUACUAAAUAAGUGAUUUAUUUUCUUAAUAAACACUGGAAUGAAAUGUAUUACCUGACCUCAUCCAGUAACUGCUCCGUUUCCUCCAGGUUUUUUUGAUUGGAGAAGUUUGGCUGUUCUGUGUAUACUUUCCCCAUUUUCUCUAAAGCUGAAAUUCAGAUUUGUGUGUGAGUGUUGAACUAAAUGUCAUGUAAUGAGCAAUAUAAACAGGACAGAAGCACUUAAUAAGAUCUCUGAGGAAUAGAUCAGUUCUGUUUAAAGGGGCUCAUAUCAUACUUUUUUAAAUUCAGUUUCCUAAAGUCUAAGCAGUGUUUUUAUGAACGUCCUACAGUUUUCACUCAGAUUAGUUCGUCUGGUGUUUAGGAAUUACAGUAUCUGUACGGUUUCUUCCUUUUUAUAUAAAUGUGAACCUGGAGCACGAAAGCAGUCGUAGGUCGCUGGGGUGUAUUUGUAGAAAUAGCCAAAAAUACAUUGUAUUGGUCAAAAUUAUUGAUUUUUCUUUUAUGCCAAAAGCCAUUAGAAUAUUAAGUA